ACCACAUCAUGUUGAAACACCGGUUACCAUACGAUCACCAAAGUUAAGCCACAUCAAGCUUAGUCAGUAUCUAAAUGGGUGAUCAUUUGGGAAUACCAAGUACUGUAAG